GCCUGAGGUAUGGAAUAAGAAUUAGUCUGGAAUCUUUGCCUUUAUAUAAAUGGUCCAGAUAUUCACAUUUGGCUAGAACGGGGCUGUCCAGUAGGGUAGCCACCAGUCACCUGUGUCUGUUUAAUUUUAGACUAAUUAAAAUUAAAUAAAAUUAAAAACUCAGUUCCUUAGUCAUGCUAGCCACAUUUCAAGUGCUAAGUUGUCCUGACUACUGCAUUGAUUAGAACAAAGAUGGGAUAUUUCCACUGCUACAGAAAGUUUGAAAAGGGCUCCUCUAGACAAAGUGUCAACCAGUUUGUUCAGGAAAGGGCCAAAUAAUAUGCAUUUUAGGUUCUGGCCAUAUUGCCUCUAUCUCAUAUACCUCUUUGUAUUUUUAUGACACUUUAAAAAAUGAAAACUAUCCUUAAGUAGCGGUCAUAUGAAAAUUGUCCAUUUUCCAGAUUUAGUCCUCAGGUCAUAAUCUGCCUACCUUUUCUCUUUACCAUUUCCCCCACUGGAGAGAGCCAGUGUACCCACCCACCUAUUUUUAUUUUUUAUCAACAAAUUUAUCCCCUCAAUGACACUUCAAUUGCUCCCAUGGCUCUAAUCACUCCACUUCAAGUCCUCAGCUUUUCUCACCUUUAAUUCUAUUCUUUUGCAUUUGGAAUCACACAGAAUAACCUUUCAGACAGUUUUCCCCCCAUGAAAGGACUGAAGUUUUUACAAUUAUUUUUUCCCUUGGUAAAUUUUAUAUUUCAUAAGCCUUUCCUGUGCCUUCUUUUCCAUUUGACUCCUCUCUGAAUUACCAAACUCGGGAAUGAGACCACAUGACAAAGUGUUCACUAAGGGACAGAGCACUUAGCUUAUGUUUCAUAAUAUUAUAGCAUAUGAGAAAACCUAAAAAAACCUCAGAAGGCUUUUGUUGAUACAGCCUGGUUGAAUGAAUUAUAUAUGACGCUUUUCAUAUAUUUGAUAAUCUAUAUAAUUCAUAAUCAUGUGACUUAUUGCCACACUAAAAUAGAAAACGGGGGGGGGGUUAUUCUAUUUUUUCCCAUUGCUUAAGGUUAUUUUUUUUACUUAUUUUCCCUACAUAGAAAAUUGUAGAAAGAUGUGAGAAACAGGGGAUAUGAGGUUAAAACCUACUUUUUAGGAAUGCAAUAGACAAUGUAGUCUUAAUAGAAGAAUAUAGAAUUUGGUAUUUUAAAAGUUGUAUGUGAGUCCUAUCAAUCCAACUAUAGUUAGGGACAGCUAACUAAAGUAUAAAAAUUGCUUUUUAGCUAUUACUUAUCUCAACCUCCUUUUUCUCUCCUGAUUGGAAGAAAUGAAUGAGGAAUCUAGCUUUAUUUGAAUCUAGACCGAAUAUUAUUUUAAAGCAAAAACAAUCAACUUAGAGUCAGACAAAACCCAUCAUAUUCUCAAAAUCCAUAUCUUGGUCUGCCAUGUUGAUUUGUACUAAAUAUACUUUGCUUUUUAAGGCUCUUUGAGAAGUAUAGGAUUGUUACAUCAUAAUGCAGCUGUUCCAUAAACAGUUCAGUUUAUUUCCCUAAGAUAUGAUUAUGUAUGCGACUCUCUUAACAUUUCUUCUUUCAUGUGGAAAGAUACACCCACCUUCACUCAGGAAUUUAAUUUAAUUUAAAAAAUUGAUUUCACUUAACAUGCAGCAUGAUCUCAAUAUUUAACAGCUGUAUUAACAGGAAUUGAUAUACUUACUGAACAGUUCUGCUAAAAGCUAAAAAUCAGAUAUCUUAUUUCUCCAAAAUGUGAGAGAAUAUGAAAAUACACUGAGGUAUAAAGUGUAAUGGAGCUGAAAAGUAAAAACUUAAAAAUCAAUUAGUUGGCAUCUAAUGUUUAAAAGAAUGACUGCCUGGGAUAUAUUUUGAAUUUCUUGUAAAAGUAUCUUACCUCUGUCAUUUAACACAAUGUUGACAGAGAUAUAGGAUAUAAUUCACUACAGCAGGGUACCAUAUUUUUCAUGGUACAAGGAAAUCAUAAUGGAUCUGUUACCAAUAGCUGGAUUGUGUUCUUCCAUUGGUUUUCAUUGUGUAAAUUAUGAUGCCAGAAUUUGUACUAGUCACUGAUAGACUCAAAUGCCUAGGACUUAGCAAUCUCAUUUUCCAAAGUUAAUCAUGAGAGGGAAGGUUCUGGGUGGAUCAUGAAUUCUGCAAGAGUGAACAAAGCGGCCCAAUACAGUAGCUUCUUUUCAGGGAGGGCCCCAUCCCACUGCAAUAGCAUGGCACCAGACACCACAGUGACAGCCUGGGGCUAGGCCUCCAAGAGGGAGUAACAACAAGUCACUAUUAGAUUUCCACCUGAGUAAGGCCACUUUCCAAUUCUUUUGCAAAGAGCUGACAGAUCUGAUUAUAGCGACAGGCUGCCCAUCCGCAAGAAGAAAUUGAUGUGCACAAGGAAAUUGCUAUCGUUUUUGGAGCCCUGCUGUAAACAGGGAAUGCUGAUUUCUGCCAUACAGGAGUGAGGCAGGAAUGCCAAAGGUUGUCAGGGCAGGUGAGACUGAUUUUCGGAGAAUUCAGUAACUUCCUCUAUCUGAAGACUGUUUUAAAAAAGAAAACCACCAAAAUGCAUUUCAAUGGAUAGAAUGUAAAAUAGAACUUCAAAAGUAAGAGCUGACAAUUUAUGAGGGGUAACACUUUACAUUAUAAAUGAACAAUGCAAUCAGUUCUCAAAAGGUUUUAUAUCUCCCUACAAGGCAUUAUAAACUUUCAAAACUAAAUACUGGUUUACAGAAGGCCUCUUAGAUCUAAGUGAGCAGAGACUCAACACCUUGGUAAGAAUUAACUGUCACCAUUUUACAUUGUGAUUUAGACAAAACUGACUGAUUGGAUUAAGGUAACUCCUAGAGUGUGCAUAAGGGAAUUAAAUCAAGAAGAGAAGCAAUGAGGAAUAAUUUGUCAACCUGAAAAUUUUACGGUUAUAAAAAAUGUUGGAAUGGAAAAGAAUGAUAUAAUGUCAAAUGCACACAGAAGGCUGGUAGUUUGCAUGGGAUCUAAAAUAAGAAAGAGGAAUGGGAGAAUGGGGAUUUAUAAAUAUUGUUCUGUAAUAUCCAAGAGGAACUGCACUCUGACUCUAUCAACUGGCACUGAUUCACUAAGCAGAAAAAGCUUCCAGUGUGGAAAAGAGCAAUUUACUAUGUUUCCCAAACUUUGUUCCCUGGAACAUGUCUUGGCUUAAAACCGAACAAACCAACCAAAAAAUGCUCACCAUCUAGUAACUUUAGAAAACACUGUAUGCUAUAUAUACCACUUAAUAUGCUAAAUGGCCAUUAGCAUAUUAUGAUCUCCAGCAGAAUUUGACUUAGAAAAUGUUUUAAUUUUGGUUAACCAAUAAUUUUUCAAAAUUAUUUAGCCAAGUAGGUGCCUAGACUUCCAACACCAAACAGCUAUUAGCAUUCCAUGAAACUAUGAUCUGUGACACAUGUUGCAUUUGGAGAGAUUCUUUAUAAACCAAUUCCUUUACUUUAACUGCACGCUUAGCAAGCACGCCUAUAAUCGUAACCUGGAAUUUGGACGAACCUACUAACCUGCAAAGAAAAGCCCACAUAAAAGGUGUAGUCCAGAUUUCAGGCUAGGUGUAUGUCCAACUCCUUAUCCAGGGCCUUCCUGCUGCCACAUUAAUAGCUAACAGAUUCUGAAAGCAAUAACAGAGAUCCUGAAGCACAGUUCUUGGUUAUUUUCAGAUUCCCUGUCUCUAUACCAAACUUUUCUGUUUCCUUAGGAAAAACUGGAGAAACUUUAUUAAUUCAUUCGAAUAGUUUUAAAAAAACACUGCCUAUUAAAACCUUAUUUAUGAGGGAAGAAGAAAUGGGCAGCAGAAGCAAUAAAAGCUACAAGUGAUCUGUUUGCACUGUCUGCACUCCAUGGUGUAUCCUAGUGCAGCAUUUCUCAACUACAUGUCUCAACCCACUAACAGUGAGUUAUGCCCAACUAAUUGUAACUCAUAAUAGAAUGCAGGAGUGUGUGAAUUAGAGCCCAAUUGUUAGACUUGCCAGAGCUGGCUCAUAUUUUUAAAGGGCCAUGGAGUAAAUGAUUCAAGCUUUGUAGGGCCAAGAUGCAAAACUAAGGUUAUUAUGUAGGUAAUUAUAUAACCAUUUAAAAUGUAAUCAAUUAAAAAAUGUAAAAUCCGCCCUUUCUUAAUUCACAGGAAGUAAAACAACACAACAACAACAGAGUUCCCAUCAUGGCUCAGUGGUAACGAACCCAACUAGUAACCAUGAGGACGUGACUUCGAUCCCUGGCCUUGCUCAAGUGGGUUAAGGAUCCGGCAUCGCUAUGAGCUGUGGUGUAGGUUGCAGACGAGGCUUGGAUCCCAAGUUGCUGUGGCUGUGGUGUAGGCAGGCAGCUGCAGCUCCAAUUUGACCCCUAGCCUGGGAACUUCCAUAUGCUCCACACGUGGCCCUAAAAAGUCAAAGGGAAACAAACAAAAAGCAGGCAGCUGAUCAAAUUUAAUCCACAGGCUUUUGUUUGCCAGUCCCUGGUUUAGAGCAUGGACUCUGAAGUCAGAUAGUCAGGUAUUGUCUGUUAUCAGCUGUGAGGCUAACUUUAGGAGGUAUUUAAUCUCUCUUUCUCAGUUUGUCCAUCUAUAAAAUAAAGAUAACAACAUUCCCUAUCUCAACUGAUAUCUGUGAAGAUGACUUAAUUAAUACAUGUAAAACACUAGAACCAUGUCUGACAAUGAGUGCUCAAGAAAUGUUUUUUAAAUAGAAUAAUUAAUAUUAGUCCAAAUAGCAGCACACCCUGAGAUGUAUGGAGCUCUUCAUUUAUUUAUUUAUUUGUAUUUAUUUAUUUAUUUUUGCUUUUUAGGACCACGCCUAUGGGAUAUGGAAGUUCCCAGGCUAGGGGUUGAAUCAGAGCUGCAGGUGCUGGCCUAUGCCACAGCCACAGCAACAUGGGGUCCAAGCUGCAUCUGGGACCUACACCACAGUUCAUAGCAACACGGGAUAUGUAACCCACUGAGCAAGGCCAGGGAUCGAACCCUCAUCCUCAUGGUUAUAAGUCAGGUUCCUUUCUGCUCAGCCAAAACAGAAACUCCCCAGAGCAAUUUAAAUGAUAAAAUCAGAGUGGAAUUUGUGUUUAGUGCACAUGGAAACCUGAGGAAUGUGAUGAGAAUGUGAGCUUAUUCCACUGUCUAUGUUGUUCUGCAAAAGCAGUAAGAGCCACUAACCUCAGAGACUAGGAUACUUGGAUUUAAUUAUAGUCCCAGCCUGGUUCUUAUGUAUGCCAAAGGACCAGUCACUUUGUAUCUCAUUUUCCCAACCACAAAAUAGAGUUAGCAAUACUUUAUGGUUCAGGGAAUAUGUGGGUGAAAUAAGAUAUUAAGUGUAAAUGUAUUAAGGAAAAGAACCAAGAGGCCCAGACUAUGAAAAACUAUUUAAUGUAACUUAGAUGUUUCUUUCCUUACUCUAGGAGAACUACUAAGUUUUGUAGUAGAUCUGAGAAGGGAGCUCCCAGGAGAGAGGUUAUUCACAACUGUGUUGGGGGCAAAGCCUCAACUGUGGCUGAAAAACCUCAUUGAGCAUGCAGCCUAUUGUCUUGGAAUUUUUAUGGUCUGAAUACUGAAAAUUGAGCCCAAAUGCCAAUAUCACCAUGCAACUUAAGAUCUCUUUAAAAUGAAAUAUAUAUACUGUAAGAUCACAGGGCAACAAGAACAAAUGCCAUUCAUAUUUUUUUGACAUUUUAGAAAUUCCUUAAGGAUAAAAAGCAAAUGAAACAAAUCAUUCAUUUCUUAUCAAUGAAGUAUUUGAGAAAGCUCAAGCCUGGAGCCCACAAAUCAGCAAGGCAGGCAUUGUGGUAACAAGAUGAAGGAGAACUGCGUUGAGCACUGCCAAGUUCACCGGGCUCACUCUUCAACCUGAGAUGCAGAUGAGGGCAGUGUCUCCCACCUCUAGACUGAUGCCCGGAAACUUCUGCCUGAAAGCCUUUCUAUCCAUGAAGGGCUCACAGUACACAUGGGCACUGAGAUAUGAAAGCAGUCUCCACAAAAGCAGAAAAGCUAAAGGGGGAGCUGCCUGCUAAGGCUGUUCUGAGAAGUAUUAAUUCAGAGGAAGCCUAGGUACCAAAGCAGCAGCUCAGUUACCCCAGGUAAUUUACAGCUUCCAGAGGGAGGGACAGAGAGCUCUCACACUAGGAAGAUAGAUAAAUCCCCAGCACACACUGAGCCCUGCACCACAUCCCUCCCACCAGGAGAGGCAGGACCUGUAACAGUAAAUAUGAGAGAGAAGCUGACAUGGAGAAGUUAGAUCCACAAGUUUAAAGGCCCAUCAGUUAAGUGUUUCAGAAAGAAAAAUUCAGAAGAAAUGGACAGGCAGGAAUAAUAAUGAAUAAAAUCAAACAGAAACUCAAGUCUGAUGAUUGAAUAUAGUGUUAGUAGAAAAGAAACCUUCGCUGAUGGAUAUUGCGGUAAACUUACAAAAAUGUGAAUAGAAGGGAAGAAGUCAACAGCUUCCCUGGAGGAAAAAUAAAAACUUAUCUACUGACAUGGGAACACCAAACUGUCAUCAGAAUUUCUGUCAGUAACAGCCUCUAGAAAACUAUGGAAUCAUGUCUUCAAUAUUCUAAGAAAAAAAAAAAACAAAAUUAUAUUCAAGUAUGAGAAUGAAGAUAUGCAUUAGGAUGCAUAGGACUAAAAAUAUUUAGACUUUUUGUAAAAAAAAAAUUACUAAAAGGAACCCCUAUAAAACAAACAAACAAAAA
rnacentral:lncRNA from 1 species